rnacentral:rRNA from 1 species
GGAAUAUUGGGCAAUGGCCGAGAGGCUGACCCAGCCAUGCCGCGUGCAGGAAGAAGGACUUCUGGGUUGUCAACUGCUUUUACCUGGGAAGAAAACGCCACUGCGGGGGUAACUGACGGUACCAGAUGCAUAAGCACCGGCUAACUCCGUGCCAGCAGACGCGGUAAAACGGAGGGUGCAAGCGUUGUCCGGAUUUAUUGGGUUUAAAGGGUGCGUAGGCGGCCCGUUAAGUCAGCGGUGAAAUCCCGGGGCUCAACCCCGGAACUGCCGUUGAUACUGGCGGGCUUGAGUUCGGUCGAGGCGGGCGGAACUGGUGGUGUAGCGGUGAAAUGCAUAGAUACCACCAAGAACCCCGAUUGCGAAGGCAGCUCGCUGGCCCGAAACUGACGCUGAGGCACGAAAGCGUGGGGAGCGAAC